rnacentral:tRNA from 1 species
CCCUCCCUAGCUCAGCGGCUAGAGCGUUCGGCUGUAGACCGAAAGGUCCCCGGUUCGAAGCAGAAUCAUUGAUUUUGAGAAAGUCUGGGGGGAGGGA